rnacentral:rRNA from 1 species
UCAUGUGCUUACAAUGAGUGGGAGUCCCGAUUUAGUCGGGAUGACCGCGUGUCUUUUUGUAGAACGAUCCAGCGAGUUAAUGUAUACGGCGUUAGGUUAAGUCUUUUCAAGAUGGAGCCGUAGUGAAAGCGAGGGUUAAUAGCCCGAAUUAGUCGUAUGUAUUAGACCCGAAACCGGGUGACCUAACCAUGGGGCAGGCUGAAGCUUCGGUAAAACGGAGUGGAGGGCCGAACCACCGCACGUUGUAAAGUGCUUGGAUGACCUGUGGUUAGCGGAGAAAUUCCAAUCGAACCCGGAGAUAGCUGGUUCUCCUCGAAAUAGCUUUAGGGCUAGCGUCAUAAACUACUGCUCGGAGGUAGAGCACUGAAUGGGUUAGGGCCGUUUACGGUACCACGCCCAACCAAACUCCGAAUGCCGAGCAAGACUAUUAUGGCAGUCAGAAAGUGGGAGCUAAGUUCCAUUUUCGAAAGGGAAACAGCCCAGACCGCCGUCUAAGGUCCCAAAGUCAUAGCUAAGUGGGAAACGAGGUGAGAUUGCAUAAACAACCAGGAU